CUUUCGCACUUCAUCAUAUUGGUUUGAUAAAUUGUACAUAUCUGAGGUACUUAUAAUACAUUCUGCCUAUUUUAUGGUUGGCUCUUUGAAAAUUGGAGCUGGGGUCUGUGACAUGGUGCUGGAUGGUUGCUUGGUUGACUUGCCUGGUUUUUAUUUCUGGCUUGGGUAUGUCUUGGCAAUCGGAGCUUUAUAUAGAAGCAGCAGGAUGAACGAAGUAGUAGUCCUGUACAGCUCUCCAAGUUCUUAGGGCGCGAAAAGGAUGAUGGUGUUCGCCGUAGUGCAGUUUCUGGAAAAAAGAUCUUACUGAAACUGGAGAAAUCAAAGGAGGAUAAGGAGGCAGAAAAUAAGAGAAAUGAAUUGCUGAAAUUCUUGAAUGCCAGUUUUGAUUGAUCAUUUGAUUUAUGGCUGCUGUGAGACAAUGGAUGAAUUAACUUUUUAUGUGAAAGGUUGUUGUUGUCGCUAGGACAACAGGAGCAAGGUGUCAGCAGCAGAUUUCCUAUUACGAGAGGGUUUCUCUAAUGGAAACAUUAUUAAAUUGGAGUCCUAAGCAGAACGUUUACCAUGAGAAUUAGAAAACUUUUGGACAUUGGUUGGUUUGGGUUGUAUGAAGUUGGUGCCUGUGUAAACAUUUCAUUUGAUAAAAUUCAUGGCUUAUAUUAUAUAAAUUGCUAUGGUCAUGCAACGUAAGCUUGAAAACUUCAAUUUUUAUGAUUAGCAAGUGAUGGCAUCCACUGGAACUAAAAAGCAGGAACACCAUUUUUAUUUUAUGCCCUGCAGUGAGUAGUUGUAAAUUAAUUUGUGUUUUUUACACUCUUAAUUCAGAUUGCAAGUUUAAGCCAA